rnacentral:rRNA from 1 species
UACGGGGGGAGCAAGCGUUGUUAGGAUUUACUGGGCGUAAAGGGCGCGUAGGCGGUCAGCACAAGUCAGUUGUGAAAUCUCCGGGCUUAACUCGGAAAGGUCAACUGAUACUGUGCGACUAGAGUGCAGAAGGGGCAACUGGAAUUCUCGGUGUAGCGGUGAAAUGCGUAGAUAUCGAGAGGAACACCUGCGGCGAAGGCGGGUUGCUGGGCUGACACUGACGCUGAUGCGCGAAAGCCAGGGGAGCGAACGGG